GAGAUGUUAACUUAAGUUUAAAGUGUCAGAUUUUUAAUUUGAAAAUGUUAUGUACACAUCUUA
rnacentral:tRNA from 1 species